GAAAGCAUAUUUCCAGGGCUUUCUUUGUGAGCAGAUUACUUAAACCCAGAUUCCUUCAGAUGUCUGAGCUCAGUCAUGGAAGCAUUAAGAACAAGAGUCAGAAACUUGACUAAGACUGCUCACAGAAACCUUUAUUAAACUUUAAAGAAGGCAAUGAAGCAAGGAUUAGAUGUAGCUGGGUGUGGAAAAUAGCUGUGGAGACAGGUGUUGCUUGUCAGUUUGAGUUUUACUUUGAUGUUCAAGCAAGCCAAGGCAAGUGGGGACAGAGCUGGUGGGCAAGCGAGGCGGUGUGGGUGCACUGAGUUAGCUGGAAUUGCACCUCUCACUGCAGUGCCCAGAAAUGUGCAUCAGGGGAAGCCAGCCAUCCAGGAAAUUGGGCUGGAGGAGUCAUCUGGGCUUCCUUAGUUUGUGUUCAGUGUGCAGACUCUAGUCUGAAGUCAAAAAUCACUGUAAAUUCAAAGGGGAUCAGGUUUGAUAGUGGCAGCUGUGCUGUGGAGCUGAGGGUUUGUCUUUAAUGCUGGGAUUUAAUGUAGGUGCUGCCAGACAUGGUACCUGUGUGCCCAUGGACAUGGGGGACUGUCCCCAGACCAGUUAUUAAGGGCAGAGAAAUUGAGGUACAGAGUGUCCUAAAUCCUGGGAGUGGCACUGAUGAGUGAGAUCCAAGCCCGUCUCUUUGGGUCUCUCUUGUCCAAGGAUGUCUUCCCUCUGAAACAUGACUGCAACAGGAACAGGGAAUUUGGUGAUAAACUUGCAAAGUGUCAGAUCAGAAGAUACAAAUCCCAGAGAACUAGGCAUGGGAAUAUGACUGAAAAGGAGUGUUCAAAGAAAAACACAUGAAAAUUAGUAUCAGCUACUUUAAAGUGGAAAUUAGUCCCACUUUCAGCCAUGAGAGGAUUAGUAGUGCUGUGGAUGCAGUUGUGCAGAUGUCUGGGAUGAGCUUCAUUUCUCCUAACUCUGAAUGUCUACAUCCGUCCUGGUCCCUGUAGGCUCCUUGUGUAAUCAAUGGAUAGAAAAAACUGCUGCUAACGUGAUUCAUCUGACCUGUUUUAGCCACCUACUUUAGGAGUAGAUGAAGCAUGCUCUAGAAACACUUUUAUUUCUUCUGAUUUUAAGGAAGUCCAAAAGAAGAACUGACACUUAGAGGUUGUCUGGACUGGACAAGGUAAAGCAGAACUUGGAGGAGUGUAAGCAGCUGUAAUAUUUUGUCUGCCUCAUACUGUGGCUUACAGGAGUUUAUCUUUUUCGUACUGGCAUUUUGCAUGUGUCACUUUUCAUUUUAUCUUCUUUAUUUCAGCUUCUGGCCUGUGUUUUAAUGUCUGUUAGAUUUAACUACAGUUUCAGAGUACAAUCAUGGGAAUGACCCAGGUACUGUCUCAUUGACUGGGGUGAUACCACAGCUUUGGAUUCUAUUUAUUGCUUGAAUGCAUAUCUUUAUUGCAGGAAAUGGAGUAAAUAAACUCCCUUGUAAAACAUGAUGUUAGUCAAGACAGAACUUGACUUCUGAUUGGGGUACAAGCACCUCUUCCAAUCAUCUUCUGCCCUCUUAGGGAGCAUUUUAGGGGUUCUGUUCAUUGUUAUCCUGAUUUUUACCACAUCCCCUGGGAUGUUCUUUUUCUUUUGGUUUACUUUAAAUUUUCCUUGAAAUAUAUUUGAA